rnacentral:misc_RNA from 1 species
UCUCCGUAGGUGAACCUGCGGAGGGAUCAUUACUGAGUGAGGGCCUCCGGGCUCGACCUCCCACCCUUCUGUCGUCCGACCGCGUUGCUUCGGGGGCGACCCUGCCGUUCGCGGCGUGGGGCCCCGGAGCCCAUCAAACCCUGCGUAACUAAGUCGUCGGAGUUUAAACAAAUUAAACAAAACUUUCAACAACGGAUCUCUUGGUUCGGGCAUCGAUGAAGAACGCAGC